UAGUUGGCAUUUGGAAGUGGGAAACGGCAUACAAAUUUGUAUUAUUUGAUGAUAUCAUUUUUGGAUUCAACAUAAAAAUUAAAAUAUUGUCUGGUUUUGCUUUGUUGCAAAAUCAAAUCAAGCUGGGCAGAGAGGUUCACACAGCCAACAGAAGCAAAAUCAUACAAAUAACUAGUUGUAAUAUAACAUUAUAACUUGUCGGAUCGGAACAGCAAGUCAGCAAUAGUGCUAUUGUAUAUUACACGAGCAGGCAAUAAGCCUCACAGCAACAGCAAGUCAGCAAGUCACAAUAUUGGCCAUAUUUUCCUCAUAUUCUACGGUCAAAACCACUUAGCCUCACAGCAACAGCAAGUCAGCAACCAUGCACAAAAUUGGCAGAAGAUAAACACGAAUAGCAACAGCCAACACCAACAGAGAAGCAAUCGGCAAAAAUGCAAAUGGGAAGACAAAAUAUGGAAGGAAAAAAAUCAAUACAUGCGGCUGGUAGUGGUGGCUGUGAUGGCAGAGUGAUGGACUGAUGGUGGAUGACAAAGUGGCAAUGGAGAGUUGGAGACGGUGGCGUUGACGCUAACGGCGCCGGAGGGGGCUGCACUGCGCUGCUGCCGCUGCACGAACGACUCCCGUCACAGCCGCAACUGAGCAAAACCGAGUCAGCAAAUGCAAAUGAGAAGAGAUGAUGCCGACUGCCGACUGCCGAGGGGCGACGGUGACGGAGUGACGGUGGGUGCUAGCCGACGGUGACGGUGGCAGCGUCGCAGCUUAUGCCUUUGGGUUUGGGUGUUUUGUGAUUUGGGGAAUUAGGGAUUUUCGGAUUUGGGUCAUUGGGUGUUUUGCGAUUUGGGUUUGGGUGGGUAACUGGUUUUAGUUUUUUAUUUUUUUAAUUAGGAAAACGGGUCCGGGUCCGGGUUUCACGUUUUUGGUGCUGAACCCGGACCGUGCCCGGAUAUGUCCGGGUUUUAAAUUCUGAAACCCGGAUCCGCUUUUUCUGUAUAUGCGGUCCGGGUUUUACCCGGACCGGAUUGGCCGGGUCCGGUCCGGAUCCGGUCCGGGCGGGUUUUUUUGACACCCC
rnacentral:lncRNA from 1 species